rnacentral:lncRNA from 1 species
AGCUGGGCGAGACAGUAAUUGGCUCAGCGAAAAUGAACAUUUCUAAGCUAUUCUACUCUAGCAUGCAAUUCCUAAGAGAUCAAAAACCUAAGGCUCAUGAUACCACAUGAUGGGGAAGUGCAUACUUAGAGAGAAUAUUCUAAAUGACAUUUAAGAGAAUGGAAAAGAAAUUAAAAUUGGAAAAGAUUAGAGAAGGGAAACUUAGGAAAUG